GCCAUAGCCAGUCCCAAGGCACUGGAGGGAUCAGGAUUUUCCUGUUCCUUAUCCAUGACUGGGACAUGUGUUGCCUCCUGAAGAGGCCACCUCCCCAGUGCGUAAUGAUUCCAUCUGAUCUAGCUGUGCCUCUUCCUUUCUCAAGGGAUGGACAGAGAGGCUCUGUGGAAGGUGGCAUUUCCUGAAGGAAGGGAGGAGAUGCCAGGCACAGGCACAGGAGCUAACGCGGCUGGUGAAAAUGAUCUGGCUUCCGAACCCACAUUCAGGAUUGAGCCUCUGGGAGAUGCUGAGGUGAUGGACCAAAAGGCAGGACAGAAGGAGGUGUUUCCCCAAGGAAGCAGUGGCUCAUUGGCAGCCCCUGCUGCAGGAAGGAAGGCGAUGGCAGACACGGGCACAG